ACGAACGCUGGCGGCGUGCUUAACACAUGCAAGUCGCACGGAAAGGCCCUGCUUGCAGGGUACUCGAGUGGCGAACGGGUGAGUAACACGUGGGUGAUCUGCCCUGCACUUCGGGAUAAGCCUGGGAAACUGGGUCUAAUACCGGAUAGGAGCCAUUUUUAGUGUGGUGGUUGGAAAGUUUUUUCGGUGUAGGAUGAGCUCGCGGCCUAUCAGCUUGUUGGUGGGGUAAUGGCCUACCAAGGCGGCGACGGGUAGCCGGCCUGAGAGGGUGGACGGCCACAUUGGGACUGAGAUACGGCCCAGACUCCUACGGGAGGCAGCAGUGGGGAAUAUUGAACAAUGGGCGCAAGCCUGAUGCAGCGACGCCGCGUGGGGGAUGACGGCCUUCGGGUUGUAAACUCCUUUCGCUAGGGACGAAGCUUUUUGUGACGGUACCUAGAUAAGAAGCACCGGCUAACUACGUG
rnacentral:rRNA from 1 species